UACGUAGGGGGCUAGCGUUGUCCGGAAUUACUGGGCGUAAAGCGCACGUAGGCGGAUCGUUAAGUCGGGGGUGAAAUCCUGGAGCUCAACUCCAGAACUGCCUUCGAUACUGGCGAUCUAGAGUCCGGAAGAGGUGAGUGGAACUCCUAGUGUAGAGGUGGAAUUCGUAGAUAUUAGGAAGAACACCAGUGGCGAAGGCGGCUCACUGGUCCGGUACUGACGCUGAGGUGCGAAAGCGUGGGGAGCAAACAGG
rnacentral:rRNA from 1 species